rnacentral:rRNA from 1 species
UACGUAGGAGGCAAGCGUUGUCCGGAAUUACUGGGCGUAAAGCGCGUGUAGGUGGUGGGACAAGUCUGCUGUGAAAGCGCCUGGCUUAACCGGGCGAGGUCGGCGGAAACUGUCCGACUAGAGGACGGUAGAGGGGGGUGGAAUUCCCGGUGUAGUGGUGAAAUGCGCAGAUAUCAGGAGGAACACCGGUGGCGAAGGCGGUGGUCUGGGCCGGCACUGACGCUGAGGAGCGAAAGCGUGGGUAGCAAACAGG